rnacentral:rRNA from 1 species
GACGAACGCUGGCGGCGUGCCUAAUACAUGCAAGUCGAGCGAGCGGAACCAACAGAUUUACUUCGGUAAUGACGUUGGGAAAGCGAGCGGCGGAUGGGUGAGUAACACGUGGGGAACCUGCCCCUAAGUCUGGGAUACCAUUUGGAAACAGGUGCUAAUACCGGAUAAUAAAGCAGAUCGCAUGAUCAGCUUUUGAAAGGCGGCGUAAGCUGUCGCUAAGGGAUGGCCCCGCGGUGCAUUAGCUAGUUGGUAAGGUAACGGCUUACCAAGGCAAUGAUGCAUAGCCGAGUUGAGAGACUGAUCGGCCACAUUGGGACUGAGACACGGCCCAA